UUCCCUUUCUCUUCCCUCUCUCAACACAAUAUUCCCUCUUUUGCUUUCCUCUCAAAUCAGCAACAAUCAGAUAUUUUGUACCUUUUGGCUCGUGGGUGUGUAGAGAUCUUGUUGUCUCUUUUAUGUAUGUAGUAGAAGCUCUAAUUUGUACUCAACAAUGGCUACAAUCACCUUCUAAAGAAUACAAUUUUCACGACAGUUUAGAAGAAGUCCAGAACAUCGAGCAAGUUGAUAAAGAGUAUCGAGACUCACCUUUGAACAUUAAUUAGCCAGUUUCGUUCAGGAUGCACUAUAUGUGUGAGAAUUGGUA